CGCAUGACAAAGGCAGCUCGAAAUCACGGGCAAGACGACGACGAACGAGGAACUGGAGAGCAUGCUGGAGUCGGGCAACCCUGCUAUAUUCACAGAAGGAAUCAUCAUGGAGACACAGCAAGCGAAGCAGAGUCUAGCGGACAUCGAGGCGAGACACAACGACAUCAUGAAGCUGGAGAACAGUAUCCGCGAGCUUCACGACAUGUUCAUGGACAUGGCCAUGCUCGUAGAGUCACAGGGAGAGAUGAUUGAUCGGAUCGAGUACAACGUCGAGGCAUCGGUCGACUACAUCGAGACGGCCAAGAUGGACACGAAGAAGGCGGUCAAGUACCAGAGCAAAGCGCGGCGGAAGAAGAUCUUCAUCAUAGUGUGUGUGGCUGUGUUGAUCGCAAUCCUCAUCAUUAUACUGGCGUCGGUGUUGCCCGGCAUCGGAUAAACGCGGCGCUGGCGGCGGCGGGCAGGAGGAGAGAUACGAGAGACACCGGACAGACGGACGGUCGGACCACGCCGCUAGCACGGUGGCGUUGCACGAGCGAGUGGGGGCGGUGGCGUCGCCGCGGCGACCCCUCUCUCACGCUUACCCCUGAGAAUGCAUACGAAAGACGAUGCAGAAGGAAGGUGGUGCCGGCAGCGGGAGUGUUGCGUCGCGAGGAAGGGAGCUUCCCUGCUGUCGGCUGUGAGGAAGAAGACGGAGGAACGGCCCAAGAUCGAGCAGCUGAGAGGAAGACGGAGAGAGAGAAAGAAAGAUAGAGCGAGAGGAAGAUGGAGAGACAGACAGAGAGAGAGAGAGAGAGAGAGAGAGAGAGAGAGAGAGAGAGAGACACCUCCCUGGCGUACUAGAGUGCUUUCUUGCAUUGCACGGUGGGGAGUUGGUACGUCUCUGUAAGACGAGAUUUAGUGACGCGGUCGUCCAGGAGAUGGCAGCACCGUGCUGUAGCUGGAGGGAAGCAGCGAUGGCCAGCCGGUAGAUGGCGCAGCGCGGUGUGGCUGUCUGUCCAUGUACAGCCGAGCGCAUUUUCUUCUUCAUUGUGUUCGCGAGGUUAUUGCAAGUUAUAUAUGUCUGCUCAUAUAUCUACUGUUGAAUAAUAAUGUUGAACACAUGCAGACACACACGCCACACACACGUAACACAUACAGACGCACGCACGCACGCAACCACACACACAUGCACGCGCGCACACACCGUGUGGGUAAUUUAUCUCCCGUGUCCUGACCGAUUUGUUAAAAAAAAACAUUUACAUGUGUAGAGAAACGUACAAUUAAAGAUUGCAUCGGUUAAGAACUACAGCUGUGAAUGAAAAGUGGGACAACACUCACCCAUUCCGCUCUUAUUUCACUGUUAGUUACAACUAACAACUAAUCACAAUCGUAAAAACGGCUCGUCUAAAUUAAUUGUGUCGUACAGUCAUCAUUACUUAAAUUGACUACGUCACGAAUUUUCUAUGAUAAAAUUUGUAAAAAAAAAAUUGCCAUUUUUUUACAUUAAA
rnacentral:misc_RNA from 1 species